rnacentral:rRNA from 1 species
UACGAAGGGGGCUAGCGUUGCUCGGUAUCACUGGGCGUAAAGCGCACGUAGGCGGCUUUCUAAGUCAGGGGUGAAAUCCUGGAGCUCAACUCCAGAACUGCCUUUGAUACUGGAGAGCUUGAGUCCGGGAGAGGUGAGUGGAACUCCGAGUGUAGAGGUGAAAUUCGUAGAUAUUCGGAAGAACACCAGUGGCGAAGGCGGCUCACUGGCCCGGUACUGACGCUGAUGUGGGAAAGCGUGGGGAGCAAACAGG